UGGGGAAUAUUGCACAAUGGGCGCAAGCCUGAUGCAGCCAUGCCGCGUGUGUGAAGAAGGCCUUCGGGUUGUAAAGCACUUCUCAGCGGAGGAAGGAGGUGGUGAGCUUAAUACGCUCAUCAAUUGACGUUACUCGCAGAAGAAGCACCGGCUAACUCCGUGCCAGCAGCCGCGGUAAUACGAAGGGUGCAAGCGUUAAUCGGAAUUACUGGGCGUAAAGCGCACGCAGGCGGUUUGUUAAGUCAGAUGUGAAAUCCCCGGGCUCAACCUGGGAACUGCAUUUGAAACUGGCAAGCUAGAGUCUCGUAGAGGGGGGUAGAAUUCCAGGUGUAGCGGUGAAAUGCGUAGAGAUCUGGAGGAAUACCGGUGGCGAAGGCGGCCCCCUGGACGAAGACUGACGCUCAGGUGCGAAAGCGUGGGG
rnacentral:rRNA from 1 species